GAUUUCCUUGGGUACCCUAAUCAACGGCGCUAGGGGCUGAACCACUAAGUUAGGCAACUCUGAUAACUCGGAGAGGCGAGAGAGUGUAAGAAGGAGCGAGCGGCGGUGCUUUCGUCGGAAGGCUGAGAGUGCACGGAGCACCGGCAGCCGCUGAGACGGUGUCGAGUAGGAGCCUCGAGCGCGGGGGCGGUAUGCAGUGGCUGGUAA
rnacentral:misc_RNA from 1 species